rnacentral:rRNA from 1 species
GAUGAACGCUGGCGGCGUGCUUAACACAUGCAAGUCGAACGGAAAGACCCGGCGUUUGUGGGUUUCUCGAUUGGCGAACGGGGGAGUGACACGUGAGUAACCUGCCCUUGUCUGUGUGGUAACUUCAGGGAACUGGGGCUAAUACCGGAUAGGAUCUCUUGCUGCAUGGUGGUGAUUGGUAAGUUUCGGCGGUUGGGGAUGGACUCGCGGCUUAUCAGCUUGUUUGUCAGGUAGUUGCUUACCAAGGGUUUGACGGGUAGCCUGCCUGAGAGCGUGAACGGCGACAAUGGGACUACGGUAGGGAGCAGAAGCGAACGGGACGCAACGGUCGGGAGUAUUACGCAGUGGCGGCAAGUGAGAUGUAGCAACGCCGCGUGCGGGAUGCUGGGUUUCGAGUUGUAAACAGAUUUCGCAGGAGCCGAAGAGUGAGUGACGGUACUGGGUAAAGAAGCCACGGCUAACUACGUG